GCGCCGCUAGCUCAGUUGGUUAGAGCAGCUGACUCUUAAUCAGCGGGUCCGGGGUUCGAGUCCCUGGCGGCGUACCU
rnacentral:tRNA from 1 species